rnacentral:rRNA from 1 species
UGGGGAAUUGUUCGCAAUGGGCGCAAGCCUGACGACGCAACGCCGCGUGGAGGAUGAAGAUCUUCGGGUCGUAAACUCCUUUCGAUCGAGACGAAUGGCCUCUGGGUGAACAAUCCGGGGGAGUGACGGUACCGAGAGAAGAAGCCCCGGCUAACUCCGUGCCAGCAGCCGCGGUAAUACGGGGGGGGCAAGCGUUGUUCGGAAUUACUGGGCGUAAAGGGCUCGUAGGUGGCCAACUAAGUCAGACGUGAAAUCCCUCGGCUUAACCGGGGAACUGCGUCUGAUACUGGAUGGCUUGAGUUUGGGAGAGGGACGCGGAAUUCCAGGUGUAGCGGUGAAAUGCGUAGAUAUCUGGAGGAACACCGGUGGCGAAGGCGGCGUCCUGGACCAACACUGACACUGAUGAGCGAAAGCCAGGGGAGCAAACGGGAUUAGAUACCCCCGUAGUCC